rnacentral:rRNA from 1 species
CCCUUAGAUGUUCUGGGCUGCACGCGCGCUACACUGAUGCGCUCAACGAGUUUACGACCUUGCCCGGAAGGGUUGGGUAAUCUUUUUAAAACGCAUCGUGAUGGGGAUAGAUUAUUGCAAUUAUUAAUCUUUAACGAGGAAUUCCUAGUAAGCGCGAGUCAUCAGCUCGUGCUGAUUACGUCCCUGCCCUUUGUACACACCGCCCGUCGCUCCUACCGAUUGAGUGUUCCGGUGAAUUAUUCGGACUGCAACAGUUAUCUGUCGCGGAAAGUCUUGUGAACCUUAACACUUAGAGGAAGGAAAAGUCGUAACA